AUGCGCAGCCCUCGCUCUCGCACGCAACUCGUGGCCACCUAGCCUAGAGGCGGCUGCCAAGCGUCCUGGCUGAGGGAUGGCGGGACCCCAGGCGGCUGGAGUGGAGAAAGUUGACCGCCCCCGUCUUUUCUGCCCCGUGGGUGGCUACUGCGUGCCCCCAAGUAACCCAGAGGUUGAGGGCCCCCCAGUGCGCGGCGGCCGGGGGUCAGGAUGCGGGACUCCCCUCCACCGCCAUGAUCUCGCAGUGUGGGGGAGCGCUCGGGGACAGAAAUGAGGCCCGAGAUGUGUGCCUUCUCCUUGCUCCUGACCGCUGACUUCGUUAUUCCAAAUACGCAGCCGAAACCAUCGCUCUUGCAGGUGCAGCUUUUCUCUGCCUCUCCUAUGUGGAAAGCAGCGCAGCGUGGACUCCAGCCAAACUCCCUCGAUUGGAUUGCAGCUCUCUGGCUCUCUGUCCCUGUGACCUUGGGCAGUUUACCUCCUCUAUGUCUCAGUUUCCUCAGCUGUGCAAAGGGGUUACUGAUCCUGCUUAAUGGGGUGGGUUGUUGUGAAGAGGAAAUGAGUUAACAUAAGUAGAGAAAGAGACUGGUGCCUGGCAAGCACUAUGUGAGUGUUUUGAUGUUAUUAUUGCUGUUUUUAUUAGAGCUGUGUGUAACGGGACGUUUAAUGAGCCUUUUCCUGUUACCCUGGAAUUAGUGAGUCAGGGCACAAAG